ACAGGUAUAACUCAGUUGGUUAGAGUACUCGUCUGAUACGCGAGAUGUCGGUGGUUCGAGUCCACCUACCUGUA
rnacentral:tRNA from 1 species